UUGUGGAGAAAUCAACUAAAUCACAAGAUGGUGGCACCACUGUGAAUACAACACCUUUGCCAGCGAUUUUCCAUACAAAGAACAUCAGCUCUGUGGAACAGAACACAGCUGCUUCAGCAACAGAGGUGAUCUGCACAGACAAGUUCGACAGCAGCAUGGUAACACUACUGCCAGAUCCUGAAGAGCAGAGAGUGAACAUGCUGUCCAUGGCUGUGCUGGGUUUGAGAGUCCUGCUGGCAAAGAGCAUCGCCUUCAAUGUCCUCAUGAGUAUCAAGUUGUUUCUUUUCUGAGACAUGGGGAAUGAAGAGAAGAGGAGCCCGAAGAAGAGCAGGAAAGAACGUGAACCAACAGCACAAGGGGGUUGAACAAGCAGGGGCAGAGCUGCUGACAGAGGCCACCCAGGACACAAGGCAGCACCUUCCCCUGAAGACAUUGAAUACUGUUCACUCCUGCCUGGCCAGCUGAUUUACACUGAAGACUUCUAAGUGCUUUUGCUCUUUCCUCUCCUCUGACAACUCAGGAGAGUGGAUUUAUCCUCAUCCUCCUGCUGAGUAGAUCUCCCCACUCUUUCUGGCAUUUGCACACAAGGGUCCAACCUGCUUCAAUAGCUUUGAAGACUCCAAUGCUCACUCUAGAUAGAUGGCCUUUUAAAAGCACCUUUCCCAGGCAUGUUGUGUUACUGCCUGUGGAACUGGAGCAGCACUGCUGAGGGAAUUCAAGCCCAGUAGUUGCCAUUUGUAGCUUUGGGUUUAGAGAGAUUUAAUAAGUGUGUACUGCAGAUAAGAAGAGUGUAUAAGACAUGAAGUGAUCUCAUUCAACUAGAUAAUGUUCAUUUCUUUAUUAAG